rnacentral:rRNA from 1 species
UACAGAGGUCUCAAGCGUUGUUCGGAUUCAUUGGGCGUAAAGGGUGCGUAGGUGGUGGGGUAAGUCGGAUGUGAAAUCCCGGGGCUCAACCCCGGAACUGCAUUCGAAACUGCCUUGCUCGAGUACUGGAGAGGAGACUGGAAUUUACGGUGUAGCAGUGAACUGCGUAGAUAUCGUAAGGAAGACCAGUGGCGAAGGCGAGUCUCUGGACAGUUACUGACACUGAGGCACGAAGGCCAGGGGAGCAAACGGG